UGGAGAGGAUUCAAGAUGGAGGAGAAAGUGAGAAACAGCCCCCUAUGGAGGAGUGAGAGUGAACUGCCUCAGGAAAUGGCAUCUGGAGAGAGCAGGGCUGGGGGCCACUGAGCUUUGUGCUCAUCAACUUAGAGAAAGAG